AGCGAACGCUGGCGGCAGGCCUAAUACAUGCAAGUCGAGCGCACCUUCGGGUGAGCGGCGGACGGGUGAGUAACGCGUGGGAACGUGCCCUUUGGUACGGGAUAACUGAGGGAAACUUCAGCUAAUACCGUAUGUGCCCUACGGGGGAAAGAUUUAUCGCCAUUGGAGCGGCCCGCGUUGGAUUAGCUAGUUGGUGGGGUAAAGGCUCACCAAGGCUACGAUCCAUAGCUGGUCUGAGAGGAUGAUCAGCCACACUGGGACUGAGACACGGCCCAGACUCCUACGGGAGGCAGCAGUAGGGAAUCUUGCGCAAUGGGCGAAAGCCUGACGCAGCCAUGCCGCGUGAAUGAUGAAGGUCUUAGGAUUGUAAAAUUCUUUCACCGGGGAAGAUAAUGACGGUACCCGGAGAAGGAGCCCCGGCUAACUUCGUGCCAGCCGCCGCGGUAAGAC
rnacentral:rRNA from 1 species